GACGAACGCUGGCGGCGUGCUUAACACAUGCAAGUCGAACGAUGAAGCCGGAGCUUGCUCUGGUGAAUUAGUGGCGAACGGGUGAGUAACGCGUGAGUAACCUGCCCUUGACUCUGGGAUAACUGCGGGAAACUGUAGCUAAUACCGGAUACGACCCUCGGAGGCAUCUCCUGGGGGUGGAAGGAAUUUCGGUCAAGGAUGGACUCGCGGCCUAUCAGCUAGUUGGUGAGGUAAAGGUUCACCAAGGCGACGACGGGUAGCCGGCCUGAGAGGGUGACCGGCCACACUGGGACUGAGACACGGCCCAGACUCCUACGGGAGGCAGCAGUGGGGAAUAUUGCACAAUGGGCGCAAGCCUGAUGCAGCAACGCCGCGUGAGGGAUGACGGCCUUCGGGUUGUAAACCUCUUUUAGCAGGGAAGAAGCGAAAGUGACGGUACCUGCAGAAAAAGCACCGGCUAACUACGUGCCAGCCGCCGCGGUAA
rnacentral:rRNA from 1 species